AGUGAACGCUGGCGGUAGGCCUAACACAUGCAAGUCGAACGGCAGCACAGUAAGAGCUUGCUCUUACGGGUGGCGAGUGGCGGACGGGUGAGGAAUACAUCGGAUUCUACUUUUUCGUGGGGGAUAACGUAGGGAAACUUACGCUAAUACCGCAUACGACCUACGGGUGAAAGCAGGGGAUCUUCGGACCUUGCGCGAUUGAAUGAGCCGAUGUCGGAUUAGCUAGUUGGCGGGGUAAAGGCCCACCAAGGCGACGAUCCGUAGCUGGUCUGAGAGGAUGAUCAGCCACACUGGAACUGAGACACGGUCCAGACUCCUACGGGAGGCGGCAGUGGGGAAUAUUGGACAAUGGGCGCAAGCCUGAUCCAGCCAUACCGCGUGGGUGAAGAAGGCCUUCGGGUUGUAAAGCCCUUUUGUUGGGAAAGAAAAGCAGCAGGUUAAUACCCCGCUGUUCUGACGGUACCCAAAGAAUAAGCACCGGCUAACUUCGUG
rnacentral:rRNA from 1 species